ACCUUAUUCAACAAGCCAUGUAAUGAUAUAUUCUCUGCGAGGUCAAUGAAAAUCCAACUACAUGUCGGUUCCUUAGCACUAAUGGGAUGAAAACAAAACAAGAAGACAUGUUUGUUUGAAUUGCAUCUGUUAUUUUGUGUUGUCAAUGACAAUGAAAAGCUGCUACCUCUACAGUACUUCAUCCAGUGUUUGUGUUCUUCCCAAUAAUAUCAGUACCUGGUGGGAGACAGGCCAGGUCUCUCACCACAGUUGGGAGACAGGCCAGGUCUCUCACCACAGUUGGGAGACAGGCCGGGUCUCUCACCAAAGUUGGGAGACAGGCCAGGUCUCUCACCACAGUUGGGAGACAGGCCGGGUCUCUCACCACAGUUGGGAGACAGGCCGGGUCUCUCGCCACAGUUGGGAGACAGGCCGGGGUCUCUCACCACAGUUGGGAGACAGGCCAGGUCUCUCACCACAGUUCCUACCAAGUUAACAUCUCCAUAUACAGGUGUUACCAUAAGCAUGGAGUCUCACAACUCAAUGUUGUUUACAGUUGGUAAGUCAGACCAGUUUGCUAAAACGUUCCUGAAAUGUGCUUCAAUGAAACAUUUGUAUAUGCACCAUACACAUACUAGUAAGGUUCUUCUCCCAAUCACAAGGAAAAGAGACACCAUAUACCUUACUUGCCUGCAACAGUCAGGGCAUUGCUGGGUCUGAACAUACUAACUUGUACACUAGACAGAACAGAAAUGAGCAGAGGCUGAUACGAAAAAAAGAAGUACUGCUGAUCUAUGGGCGAAUCAACACCAACUUCUUAGACCUUCUAAUAAUGAGUCUAUAGGGAACAUUUUGAGAGAGGGAAGACUUGUACAUUUCCAUCCCUCCUGUAAAUCUUGUACUAGCAGUGAGCAUUUCAUAUUCUCUGCAACAAUGUCUUUUCAUUCCAACAUGUAUAAGUCUGGAUGGAGACAUGACAUUGUAGGAUGUGUCCAUCAUUAAGAGUGGCUACA